rnacentral:lncRNA from 1 species
AGAGAUAGAAAGAUUUAUAACAUAAGUCAAUUAGAAUUCCCACCUUUGGAUUAGGCCUCAAGCAAGCCAAAUAAGCAAAUAAUAAUCCAUGCAUCAGAUGAAACCAAAAUAACUCAAUCAAGUCUCCAAAGGAAGUCCAAAGUCAAAGGUACCAAGUGAAUCCCAAGGUCUCAAAUCACAAGUUCCCAAAAUAAAGGUCAAGAUCCUA